CACGUAGGGGGCGAGCGUUGUCCGGAUUUAUUGGGCGUAAAGAGCUCGUAGGCGGCUCAGUAAGUCAGGUGUGAAAACUCCAGGCUCAACCUGGAGACGCCACCUGAUACUGCUGUGGCUUGAGUCCGGUAGGGGAGCAUGGAAUUCCUGGUGUAGCGGUGAAAUGCGCAGAUAUCAGGAGGAACACCAGUGGCGAAGGCGGUGCUCUGGGCCGGAACUGACGCUGAGGAGCGAAAGCGUGGGGAGCAAACAGG
rnacentral:rRNA from 1 species